GUGGGGAAGAAGAACAAGAGGAAGGAAGCCGCGGGAACAUGGCGGCGGGAGAGGAGGAAAGUGCCCUGUCCUCCGAGCUCGAGGUGCUCCGGUCCAUCUACCUGGAAGAGCUGACUGUGUCGCGGCACCCCGGCAGGGAGCGCCCGUGGGAGAUCGGCGUCGCGCUGCACCCGGCCACGGCCGACGACACCGAGUCCCAGUAUGUUUGCUUCACCCUCGUCCUCUCCCUCUCUGCCCAG